rnacentral:rRNA from 1 species
UCUGCUGUUAAAAAGUGGAGCUUAACUCCAUCAUGGCAGUGGAAACUGUUGGGCUUGAGUGUGGUAGGGGCAGAGGGAAUUCCCGGUGUAGCGGUGAAAUGCGUAGAUAUCGGGAAGAACACCAGUGGCGAAGGCGCUCUGCUGGGCCAUCACUGACGCUCAUGGACGAAAGCCAGGGGAGCGAAAGGGAUUAGAUACCCCUGUAGUCCUGGCCGUAAACGAUGAACACUAGGUGUCGGGGGAAUCGACCCCCUCGGUGUCGUAGCCAACGCGUUAAGUGUUCCGCCUGGGGAGUACGCACGCAAGUGUGAAACUCAAAUGAAUUGACGG